GUGAGUUUUAAAUCGAAAGAUACGGGAGAAGCACGUGUUUGUGCUUUAGGCGUGUUGUUACGAUUGUGUUGACGUUUACUGUAGAGAAAUAAUGGAAUUUAACAACGAUGCUUUUUAUUUUAAAACCAUUAAACACUUGCAAAAAUUAGGAACUGUAACGCAGAAUUCAGAAAUCUCCAAAUAUUUUCUAUCACUCAGUUAUGCAGCUGAAGGAAAACUUAAAAUUAAAAAUGGUCAUGGAAUAACUGAAAUGAGUGAUUCAGAGAAGUAAGACACACGCAACGAGAAGAAUAACUUGGAAUUACCACCAUUUCAUCAAAGAAAGAAAAUCCCAGGUGUUAUUUCUGCCAACCGUUUCUUUCUCUAAAGUCUGCUGUAUUAAUUUAAUUAAUGAAUUAUUUUAGUUUUCAUCUAACCCCAUCUUGUUCCAAGGCCCAAUUAAUUGUAAUAUUAGUUAAGUUAGAGAUAAGUUUAGAUUAAGUUUUUUGUUUGCAUGGGACAUUCCAGUCAAUUUGCAUUUUUUGUCCCAAUUUCUUUAUAUAUUUCAAUAAUUGUUCAGUGGAGUUGGAAUAAUUUUUAUGAUUGAAGUAUUAAAAUCUUCUUUUUCUUGUGUUAUUCUUUGGAGUUUUUUCCUUUGGUAACAGAUGGUCCUAAUGCCCAUUUCUAUUACCAAAUUACUCAAUAUUUAAUCAUUAAUAGUAGUGGUAAAGAUGCCCAAUGUAGAGCUGAAAUUGUUUGAUUUUAUUAUAGUACAGUAAUUCAGAGACCAAGUUAUUCUAUGAACUGACUUCUUGAGGAGUUUCAAUACUGUAAUUAACUGUUAACUUUAAUCUCUAAUUACUUAAUCAAGUUGUUUUUGAAUAUUCAGUAAUACUUACUAACUACUCGAUAGUCCAUACAAUGCAAAUUGUCAGGACUAUGUAACCUUAUUUUCAUUGCUUUCAAUGAAGUACCUUCGUUGCUUAUUCUCAAAAAGUUAUUUCUUGGAAACUGAGUCUAUUCAUGAUUAAUUUCAACGAUUCUAAUACUAACAAAGACAGUCUGUUUGUAUGUCCCUUGUCACAUGAUUUGUAUUUCUCUCUAAAGAUUUGAACUUUUUCUGAAUAUACAGUUAGUCAUGCAUUGCAAUGUCUGUUAUACCUGGAGGUGACUUUAUUUAUUUUUUAUAAGUAAUUUUCUACUUUCUUCAGGUUAAAUUAUGUUUUUUAUGCCCAAAAUCUUCUGUUUUCAUGUUAGACAAGUUUCUGGCUUAUAGUAAAUGUCAAUAUAGAAAAAUUCUCUAAAAGUUUUUUUCAUUUAGGCAGACUUCCAUUUUAUUCAGGUUUCUUAUAGCUAGGUUUUACUGAAUUAUCUAAUAUUUAUAUACAACUAGCUUACCCGUCGCGCAUUGCUGCGAUCUCAGAAAAAAGGAAA